ACGCAAGUCAACAUGAAAUUACUGUUAAUCCUUUUUGCCUUGAUUGUUGCCGUUUCGGCUUAUCCCAAACUGCAAUGCAGAUGCUCUACAACGUACCAAGGCUUCAUUGAAUGCAGUGACAAAUACGGUGUUGUACGCUAUAAAUACCCUAUAUGCGAAAAGUGCAACUGCCAGGAGUUGGAAAAUAUCCGAUCUAAAAGAGAACAAGUAAUACAAAGAAGUAAGAUUGUAUGGAGUUCUCAACAUCUUUCCUUUCCCAGUCCAAAAAAAGGGUAAAAGACCAGUUUUGUCCCGUCACCAUGCAGGACUAUGGAAUAAUUAUCUUAACCUACAUCCGCCUAGAUAAAACAAAAUAUGUUUCUAUCAGGUCCUAAAAGAUGUUCGACUAGGAAGGGAACGAGAAAAUUAUUUUUGUGUGUCUAGGAUAAAAAGGAGCUUUAAUAAAAGGAUUCUUAAGAAAAAAUAUAUAAUAUAUAUACUUAAAUAAUUUGCAAAAUGGUAUUUUUUUUAG